rnacentral:rRNA from 1 species
CCUACGGGAGACAGCAGUGAGGAAUAUUGGUCAAUGGGCGCGAGCCUGAACCAGCCAAGUCGCGUGAGGGAAGACGGUCCUAUGGAUUGUAAACCUCUUUUGUCGGGGAGCAAAAGACGCCACGUGUGGCGUUCCGAGAGUACCCGAAGAAAAAGCAUCGGCUAACUCCGUGCCAGCAGCCGCGGUAAUACGGAGGAUGCGAGCGUUAUCCGGAUUUAUUGGGUUUAAAGGGUGCGCAGGCGGAAGAUUAAGUCAGCGGUAAAAUUGCGGGGCUCAACCUCGUCGAGCCGUUGAAACUGGUUGUCUUGAGUGAGCGAGAAGUAUGCGGAAUGCGUGGUGUAGCGGUGAAAUGCAUAGAUAUCACGCAGAACUCCGAUUGCGAAGGCAGCAUACCGGCGCUCAACUGACGCUGAUGCACGAAAGCGUGGGUAUCGAACAGGAUUAGAUACCCGUGUAGUC